rnacentral:snRNA from 18 species
CAGCAUCUAGCAUUUCAUCGAGGCCUUCAAUAAGACCUUCAGAACAAUUUUUGGAGACCCUGUCCUAAUUUUUGAGGCAGGGAA